UACAGAGGUCCCAAGCGUUGUUCGGAUUCACUGGGCGUAAAGGGUGCGUAGGCGGUCGGGUAGGUCUGAUGUGAAAUCUCACAGCUUAACUGUGAAACUGCAUUGGAUACUAUCCGGCUAGAGGAAUGGAGGGGAGACUGGAAUACUUGGUGUAGCAGUGAAAUGCGUAGAUAUCAAGUGGAACACCAGUGGCGAAGGCGAGUCUCUGGACAUUUCCUGACGCUGAGGCACGAAAGCCAGGGGAGCAAACGGG
rnacentral:rRNA from 1 species